AUACCUUUCUCGGCCUUUUGGCUAAGAUCGAAGUGUAGUAUACGCCUUAUCGGUUUAAUAUACGAUAUGUAGGCGCUGGUUAACACACGAUAUUAACUUAAUUUUUUUUAAGGGGGAAGGUCCAUCAAGUGUAGCUUGCUACAUGGGCUUUCAUAAUCGCUGCGUUAUGCACUAUUGCACGGGCACCGCACCCCAC